rnacentral:rRNA from 1 species
GACGAACGCUGGCGGCGUGCUUAACACAUGCAAGUCGAACGAUGAACCACUUCGGUGGGGAUUAGUGGGCGAACGGGUGAGUAACACGUGGGCAAUCUGCCCUUCACUCUGGGACAAGGCCCUGGAAACGGGGUCUAAUACCGGAUAACACUGCCACGGGCAGUCUGUGGUGGUUAAAAGCUCCGGCGGUGAAGGAUGAG